AGAGUUUGAUCCUGGCUCAGAUUGAACGCUGGCGGCAUGCUUUACACAUGCAAGUCGAACGGCAGCGGGGGCUUCGGCCCGCCGGCGAGUGGCGAACGGGUGAGUAAUGCAUCGGAACGUACCCAGUCGUGGGGGAUAACUACGCGAAAGCGUAGCUAAUACCGCAUACGUCCUGAGGGAGAAAGCGGGGGACCGAAAGGCCUCGCGCGAUUGGAGCGGCCGAUGUCGGAUUAGCUAGUUGGUGGGGUAAAGGCCUACCAAGGCGACGAUCCGUAGCGGGUCUGAGAGGAUGAUCCGCCACACUGGGACUGAGACACGGCCCAGGCUCCUACGGGAGGCAGCAGUGGGGAAUUUUGGACAAUGGGGGCAACCCUGAUCCAGCCAUGCCGCGUGMGUGAAGAAGGCCUUCGGGUUGUAAAGCUCUUUCAGACGGAAAGAAAUCGCGCGGGUGAAUAUCCUGCGUGGAUGACGGUACUGUCAGAAGAAGCACCGGCUAACUACGUGCCAGCAGCCGCGGUAAUAC
rnacentral:rRNA from 1 species